GUUGGUGAUAGGUGAAUCAUGUUGUCAUUGUUCAGUUUGCAAAAGUCAAAGCAUGGAGAGGAAAUGUUAGUCUGCAAAAUGUCUUAGGUGCUACAAAGGUGAUCUUUAAUCCUGACAUAGCUAUUGCUGAUCUAUUGAAGGAGAGGUAUGCUGAGGCUAAUCAAAAUGGAGUUCAAGGUUUUGAGCCAAAUCCAGGAUCCUACUAAAAUUUCUGAUGAAGAUGAUUUAUUCAUAUUUACUCCUUGGAAGACUCUCUCCCAGCUCCCAGAUUUGAGGGAGAAUGAGAGGUAGAUUUUAUGGAUUGAGUGAGAGAGGUCCAAAGAUUAAUUCUUGGAUAGUGCAAUUUAUGAGUCGCUGUGAGGCUACCUAAUUUAAUGUAUUUUUUUUUGCAUUUAAAUCAAAACUGAAUAAACACCUUUCAAUUGAGGGUGAUCUUUAUAAAAUAAAAUAUAUGUACACAAAUUGACGGUACCAUUCUCUCAAGUGGGUAUAUUUAAGAUACUUAUAUUAUUCAA